CCACGCACUUACAGAAUGGCGCAACAGAAAGCCAGCCAAUUUGUUCUUAGCACAGUGUCCGACAAUUCACCUCUUAAUCCUGCCCUUUUCACAGCUGUUUCUCUAGGAAUGAUUUCAGCUAGGAAGAACAAAAGCUGAGAAACAUCUCGCCUCCAUGCACAAAUGAUCAUUUUUCUCCCAUUCAAGAAGGUUUCAGGGCUACGUGGGGGACUUGGCAGAGGAGUCUUGCUCAUACACCUCCAUGGGGCUGGGUGAGCUUGUGGUCUUGCAUAAAUCACCACUGUGGGGACCUCAGCUCUGAGCCUCAGAUCUCCAGCUGAAAAACAAAGCUAAUAUCAUCUCCUUAGUGCUUCUUUUAUGUUUCUUUCUUCCAAAGCUCCCCAGGGCAGAGACUUUCACCUUGGUAUGUUUGGAAGGUGACUCUUUGCUUUUAGUUGCUUUUCAUCCUGUGGCCAAAUCAGCAACCUCCGAUGGGGAAAGGGGAUCUGGACUGGGAUGUAAGAGCCAGAGAAGUGGAGGAGAAAGCCCUCAAGCUACCCCACCACUGGAGGGUUUGUCCUUGCUACUCAGGGCUAGUGGAGGGGAGGGAACCUCUGCGGCUACCUCGAAAUCUGCAGGAUUUCCUCAAGUCACCCCCAUGGGUGAGGUCCUGCCCUUCCUUUCCUGCAGGGAAACCGGUGCAGGAUGUGCUGCAGGUUGCAGAGACCUUCCCCAACAGCUCCCAUCAGUGGACAUCGAUUCCCCCAGCUGGGAGCAGCUUGACAUCAUGGUCCCCACCAUGGCAUGGAGACAAUGGUGGCAGAGCCCGUGCCUGAUGCUCCAGUCCUGCUCCUGUUCCCCAUGAUGACGUUCCCACAGUGACUGUCGCCCACGUGCUGUGGCUGCAAAGGGAAGGAUGGAGAAGAGGCUGAGGAUGCUUAUCUGAGCAGGAGGCUGAUGAGCUGUAUUUCCAGCGAGGCCACCCCUCCUCGGCUUCUUUAAGUCUUCUUUUACCCAUCUGCUAUGUAAUGCUCAUUUGCCCAUUGUGGUGUCAGGAGACUUCACUGAUGUAUAUGAAGUUCUUUGACGCAUGACAGCUCCACAUGAAAAAUAAAACAAUCAGAGCUUGUUUCUAUCUGUAUGAC
rnacentral:lncRNA from 1 species